rnacentral:SRP_RNA from 1 species
CUAGGCGGGGAGCUAGCGGUGCCCUGUAUCCGCAAUCCGCUACAGCGGGGCUGAACUCCCGCCCGAGGGUCCUACUCGGAGGCAUGGGCUCAGAUGAUGUGGCAUUGAAGGCGAGGUCCCAUUCGGUGGGCGACCGUGAAUCAGGUCAGGUCCGGAAGGAAGCAGCCUUAAGCGGACCCUCCCACGCGCAGUGGGGCCACCUCGCCGGAGUCACAUCCCUGAGUUCCACUUCCCGGCAGGUAUUCGACGGUGGGUGCACGG